GAUGAACGCUGGCGGCGUGCCUAAUACAUGCAAGUCGAGCGAACGGACGAGAAGCUUGCUUCUCUGAUGUUAGCGGCGGACGGGUGAGUAACACGUGGAUAACCUACCUAUAAGACUGGGAUAACUUCGGGAAACCGGAGCUAAUACCGGAUAAUAUUUUGAACCGCAGGGUUCAAAAGUGAAAGACGGUCUUGCUGUCACUUAUAGAUGGAUCCGCGCUGCAUUAGCUAGUUGGUAAGGUAACGGCUUACCAAGGCAACGAUGCAUAGCCGACCUGAGAGGGUGAUCGCCCACACUGGAACUGAGACACGGUCCAGACUCCUACGGGAGGCAGCAGUAGGGAAUCUUCCGCAAAGGGCGAAAGCCUGACGGAGCAACGCCGCGUGAGUGAUGAAGGUCUUCGGAUCGUAAAACUCUGUUAUUAGGGAAGAACAUAUGUGUAAGUAACUGUGCACAUCUUGACGGUACCUAAUCAGAAAGCCACGGCUAACUACGUG
rnacentral:rRNA from 1 species